rnacentral:rRNA from 1 species
UACGGAGGGUGCAAGCGUUGCUCGGAAUUAUUGGGCGUAAAGGGUAGGUAGGCGGUCUUGUUUGUCUAGGGUGAAAGCCUUGAGCUUAACUCAAGAAGUGCCCUAGAAACGGCAAGACUAGAGUCCUGGAGAGGGUCGUGGAAUUCCCGGUGUAGCGGUGAAAUGCGUAGAGAUCGGGAGGAACACCAGAGGCGAAAGCGGCGACCUGGACAGGAACUGACACUCAACUACGAAAGCGUGGGGAGCAAACAGG